UUAGCAAUUAGGUAUAUUUUAGUUGAGUGUGAGUGAAUUAAUAGUCACGUUUUGUUGUUUUGCAAACUGUCAAGUUUUAGUUUCGUUUUUACAUCGCCUUCUCUACGCUUCGGUGCCCUUCUAAACCGUACUCGUCUUUUGCUUGUCUGUGUCAUUACAUUAAAUCUCCUCGGUCUUUCUGCAUCUUGGGAACAGGCCAGUAAUCAUGCGACCCGAGCGUCACGAAAGGGUGUACGCCGCCUUCCGCCCGAUUGUAGCUGAGAUAGGCUCCAUCGCCCCCCGCGACCCCGAAGGGAAUAAGCGGUAGAAAAUGGAUGGAUGGCCGCCGUUCCUCUUUCCUGUUGGUCCUCGCCUCUGCUUGUCGUGUUUGAAACCGGUUCCUGACCAGUUUCUGCUGCUGCUUCUUCUUCUUCUGAAUCUUUCUCCUCGUGGGAAGACCUCUUUGCUGCAGAAAAGAGGAGGAUGAGACCUUCCUCAUUGUGUCAUGACUAAAACUGCUUCCUGCCCAUGUGUGGUUUCACCUGAUUUCUUCUACUCGCUUGUUGAUGAGUGUUGCUGAACUCUGUAAGUCAUCUUCCUGUCUCACAUUUUCUCCAUAAACUUGAUGUUUCCCUCCGGUAUCUUCAAGUGGGAUGAUAGUGUUCAUGCCUGUGGAGACCAAAGGAGGAUGAUGAGGAUAGGAAGCAGAAUAUAAUUAAUACUCUCGUUGCUUCAGACUAAAAACUAUUUCUAAAAACAUAAAACAUGUCAUAUCACAAAGAAGAACAUGGUAACCACUUAUCACUUCCUCAGUGAGUGUUCGGCAAAGUGUGGUAUGGUAUGCGGGCUCCAUCCAAAUAAUCACUGGAUUA